GGGCUCACUGGGCAGCACAGAAACUAAAAUUGGAACGAAACAGAAGAUUAGCAUGGCCCCUGUGCAAGGAUGACAUGCAAGUUCAUGUGGCGAAAAAAGAGCUC